CCUACGUGUGGCAGCAGUGAGGAAUAUUGGUCAAUGGGCGCGAGCCUGAACCAGCCAAGUCGCGUGAGGGAAGACGGCCCUACGGGUUGUAAACCUCUUUUGCCGGGGAGCAACGGGCGCCACGUGUGGCGCCACUGAGAGUACCCGGAGAAAAAGCAUCUGCUAACUCCGUGCCAGCAGCCUCGGUCCUACGGAGGCUGCGAGCGUUAUCCGGAUUUAUUGGGGUUAACGGGUGCGUAGGCGGAGCGUUAAGUCAGUGGUCAAAUUGAGGGGCUCAACCCCUUCCCGCCAUUGAAACUGGCGCUCUUGAGUGGAAGAGAAGUAUGCGGAAUGCGUGGUGUAGCGGUGAAAUGCAUAGAUAUCACGCAGAACCCCGAUUGCGAAGGCAGCAUGCCGGCUUCCUACUGACGCUGAAGCACGAAAGCGUGGGGAUCGAACAGGAUUAGAUACCCCUGUAGUC
rnacentral:rRNA from 1 species